rnacentral:rRNA from 1 species
CGAAGUCUAGACGAACUAAAACUUCUUCCCCACAGCCCACGGUGAAUUUUGCCUGUCGGCUCACUUAAAAAAAGCUCGUCAAGUAAAACACAUUACUAAACAGUUUUAACAGUUUAAACGGGGCUCCAUCGAGGAGACGAGCAUAGGACUGCUGAGCUGGUGGUGCCCCAUGCUGGGCCCGACCAAGAAGGUAGCGAGUGGUUACUUGAGCGACGGUAGAGAGGGCUAGACUUGAUUUCGGUCGCCGGUCUUGGAGGGAUGGUUCCGGCCCGUCCACCUGCACGGUGGGGGAGCUAGUCGGGCUCGCCUCUCUUCUCCGCCGUUCGUCUAACUAACCUCCUCCAGCUUCUAGUCAGGGCGGCCGCUAGUCUAGCGGUCAGUAUUAUUGGGAUCUUUUGAUCCGGGAUGUAGCAGCAGGGGCGAGCGUCAAAGAGGAACCGCGGCGGCAGGUAGGCUGGCGAGGUGUUCGGGCGCGAAGUCGCCUCUACGUCUCCUGCCACCUAAAGUUCGAGGGUGUGAAGAAGUUGAUGGGCGGGAUGAAAUGAAACGUCGGACACUCUCUUUGUGCACUUUUCGUUCACGUCGAUACCUUUCUCGACUAUGAACUAAUGACAUCUUCAGUUUUCUACAUAUAUUAGAGGGACCUUCUUCUAAAAGGCAACAAGAGGUUAGGUUUCUAACUCUCUAGAGAUUCGAUACUUCGUUUCCUUCACAAGGAACGUCGAGAACAAUCACUUCCCGCACGUCUCACCUAACUGUUUUCAGUGUUCUUCACAGAGUAAGAAACCGACGCCUAAGUUCUAACCCGAUUGAUGUAUGAUCUGAAGCAUUUCCUUUUACCCAACCUUCAUUGUUGUUAACUUCUAUAUGCGAGACCUUAACUUUGCGUACCCUGGCUUGAACGCCCUUAACUAGCACCCCAGGAGUACGCUCGAAACUCCGACGACCUUGUUUUCCCUUUCCGUCAAUAGAAAUUCCCGUCAAGUCGUCUGCUACUUCCGCAGUUUAAAAGACAAAUUUGAAACACAUGAUCGGGGGUUGAUUGUCUACUUAUUAUAGCUAGCCACAGGAACUUGUACUAUGUGGAGAAGAUGGGCAUGUGACUAGUGUAGGAAGGCGGCAUAAAUAGCCGUAGUAAGUUUGGAGCCAUAAAUAAACGGCAUAAGUAUAAAGGGUCUGACAACAUUAAUCGGAAGAUAAGUAGAAGUCGUAUAUAUGGAU